AAUAUUGCGCAAUGGAGGAACCUCGGACGCAGCGACGCCGCGGGAGCGAUGAAGGUCUUCGUAGGGUAAAGCUCUGUCCUUGGGGGAGAAGGUCGUCGGACUUGACGGUACGCCUGGCGGAAGCCCCGGCUAACUACAUGACCGCAGCCGCGGUAAUCCGUAGGGGGCAAGCGUUGACCGGAGUUAUUCGGCGUAAAAGGUGCGUAGGCGGUCUUUUAAAUCAGAUAUUAAAUCCCACGGCUCAACCGUGGGAUUGCAUUUGAAACUGGAGGGCUUGAGUAUCGGAGAGGGUAGUGGAAUUCCCAGUGUAGCGGUGAAAUGCGUAGAUAUUGGGAGGAACACCAGUGGCGAAGGCGACUACCUGGACGAUUACUGACGCUGAUGCACGAAAGCUAGGGGAGCAAAC
rnacentral:rRNA from 1 species